rnacentral:rRNA from 1 species
UUAAUAAAAAUAUUUUUUUUAUUUUAGUAUUUAUAAGAAAAAAUAAUUAUUAUGAUAGAGAAAUAGUAUUGUAAAAGAAUAUUAUUAAUUAUAAAAAAGAAUAUUUUAUUAAUAGUAUCUUGUGUAUUAGAGUUUAUUAAAAAUAAGUUAUAAAUAUAAUUAUCUUGAAAUUUUAGGAGAAAUAAUUUUUAAAUUUUAUUGUUAUAUAAAUAAAAUAAAAAAAAUUAUAGUAAUGAUAAGUUAAUCGAUUAAAAUUUUAUCUAGUUAUUUUAGAAAUUAAUUUAAUUAAGUUAUUAAGAAAAUUUUAAUAAUAAUUAAUUUAUUAAAAUUAUUUAAUAAAAAUAUAUAAAGGGAUAAGCUUUUUUAUAAAAUUAUAAAUAUGAUUAAUUAUAAAUAAUUUGUUAGAUUAAUAUUGUUUAUCAAUAAUAGUUUAUUAAAAAUAUUUAUUUAAUAUUAAAGAUUUAUAAAUAUUUUAAUUUAUUUAUAAAAUUAAUAAAUUUAAUUUAAUAAUAAAUAUAAUAAUGAUAAAAUUAGUAAAUAAAAAUUUAUAGAUAAUAUAAAAUAAAAUAUUGAGUUAAAGAAUUAGACAAAUAAAUUUUUUACCUGUUUAUUAAAAACAUGUCUAUUUGAAAAGAAUAAAUAGUCUAAUCUGCCCAUUGAUUAAUUAAAAGGCUGCAGUAUAUUGACUGUACAAAGGUAGCAUAAUCAUUAGUUUUUUAAUUAGGAACUUGAAUGAAUGAUUGAAUAAAAAAUGAUUGUUUUAAUUUGAUUAAUUGAAUUUUUUUAUUAAGUGAAAAAACUUAAAUGAGAUUAAAAGACGAGAAGACCCUAUAAAUUUUUAUUAUUUAAUAAUUUUUAAUUAAUUAAAGUAAUUUAGUUGGGGAAAUUUAAAGAUUAAAAUAAUUCUUUUUAUAAUUAAUAAAGAUAAUUAAUUUAAUGAUCCUAAAAAGGAUGAAAGAAUAAAUUGCUUUAGGGAUAACAGCAUAAUUUUUUUGAAGAGUUCUUAUUAAUAAAAAAGUUUGUGACCUCGAUGUUGGAUUAAAAUAAAUUAUUAUGAGUAGAAUAAUAAUAAUAAAGUCUGUUCGACUUAAAAUUUUACAUGAUCUGAGUUUAAAUCGGUGUG